UACGUAGGGCGCAAGCGUUAUCCGGAAUUAUUGGGCGUAAAGAGCUCGUAGGCGGUUUGUCGCGUCUGCCGUGAAAGUCCGGGCUCAACUCCGAUCUGCGGUGGGUACGGGCAGACUAGAGUGAUGUAGGGGAGACUGAAUUCCUGGUGUAGCGGUGAAAUGCGCAGAUAUCAGGAGGAACACCGAUGGCGAAGGCAGGUCUCUGGGCAUUAACUGACGCUGAGGAGCGAAGGCAUGGGGGAGCGAACAGG
rnacentral:rRNA from 1 species